UUUCCGUAGGUGAACCUGCGGAAGGAUCAUUACCGAGUGAGGGACUCUCAGGCCCGACCUCCCACCCAGUCCUUUUGUGACCUUGUUGCUUUGGCCGAUCCGCCUCGAUGACCGGCCCCCGGAAGCUCACCGCUUCCAGCCCCUGCCCGCUAGUAAAACCCCUUAAUUCUUAAUAAACCUGUCAUCAGACUAUAGAUAUAAUAAAAAAAACUUUCAUCAACGGAUCUAUUGGUUCUGGCAUCGACGAAGAACGACGCAGAUCGACAGCGCACACGCCCC
rnacentral:misc_RNA from 1 species